rnacentral:rRNA from 1 species
GUAGGUGGCAAGCGUUGUCCGGAAUUAUUGGGCGUAAAGCGCGCGCAGGCGGUUCUUUAAGUCUGAUGUGAAAGCCCACGGCUCAACCGUGGAGGGUCAUUGGGAACUGGAGAACUUGAGUACAGAAGAGGAAAGCGGAAUUCCACGUGUAGCGGUGAAAUGCGUAGAGAUGUGGAGGAACACCAGUGGCGAAGGCGGCUUUCUGGUCUGUAACUGACGCUGAGGCGCGAAAGCGUGGGGAGCAAACAGGGAUUAGAUACCCUGGUAGUCCACGCCGUAAACGAUGAGUGCUAAGUGUUAGGGGGUUUCCGCCCCCUUAGUGCUGCAGCUAACGCAUUAAGCACUCCGCCUGGGGAUACGGCCGCAAGGCUG